rnacentral:rRNA from 1 species
AGUGAACGCUGGCGGCGUGCCUAAUACAUGCAAGUCGAACGGAGUGGCGCACGGGUGAGUAAUGUAUAGCUAAUCUUCCCUACACUAGAGGACAACAGUUGGAAACGCCUGCGAAUACUCUAUAGUGUAGGAUGAGGCUAUAUUGUAUCAGCUAGUUGGUGAGUUAAUGUCUCACCAAGGCUAUGACGCAUAACUGGUCUGAGAGGAUGAACAGUCACCGUGGAAGUGAGACCAGGUAUAGACGCCAACGGGAGGAGGCAGUAGGGAAUAUAGCUCAAUGGGGGAAACCAUGAAGCAGCAACCGUGCGUGGAGUAUGAAAGUUUUCGAAGAGUAAACUGCUUUUGUUAGGGAAGCAGUAACUAACGAAUAAGCAACGGCUAACUCCGUGCCAGCCGCCGCGGUAAUAC